UAAUACACUGAAAAUGUGCAGUUAACAUAGAAAAUCAUAAUUUGAAGAGUGACUGUUAUCAAGAUGUGCUCAAAACCAGUUGGCAUUCCUAAGAACAAUGGAGCAAAGUGGAAAUGUGCUGCAAAGGGAGAGGACGCGAGCAGAAGUACUUCAAACAGCAAGUGUUGGGGAUUCCUAUUUGGGGGAUCCUUUAAGAAUACUCUGCUGGUUAAGCAUCCUUCUGCACAGAAAUGCAGAGAAGCACCUUCUGAAUAUUAGCUGUGGACUGCAUUACUUUCACUAGUUCUGAUUAAAGUGCUAUUGCAUCCCGGUAAGAUUGAUGAACUGUGGAGGAUAUGUGAAUGCUGUCUCUUCAUGUCAAAGAAAGAGUGUGAAGAAUUUAAAUAAACAUAGCAUUUAGA